CGAAAAAUAACGAUACGGGACUCAUCCGAGGCCCCGUAAUCGGAAUGAGUACACUCUAAACCCUUUAACGAGGAUCAAUUGGAGGGCAAGUCUGGUGCCAGCAGCCGCGGUAAUUCCAGCUCCAAUAGCGUAUAUUAAAGUUGUUGCGGUUAAAAAGCUCGUAGUCGAAUUUGUGUCCCGCGCCGCCGGUUCAUCGCUCGCGGUGUCAACUGGCGUGUCCGCGGGACGUCCUGCCGGUGGGCUUAGCCCCUUGGGCGGCCCAAUCUCAAUCCCACCGCGGUGCUCUUCACUGAGUGUCGAGGUGGGCCGGCACGUUUACUUUGAACAAAUUAGAGUGCUUAAAGCAGGCUAAAACAUCGCCUGAAUACUGUGUGCAUGGAAUAAUGGAAUAGGACCUCGGUUCUAUUUUGUUGGUUUUCGGAACCCCGAGGUAAUGAUUAAUAGGAACGGAUGGGGGCAUUCGUAUUGCGACGUUAGAGGUGAAAUUCUUGGAUCGUCGCAAGACGGACAGAAGCGAAAGCAUUUGCCAAAAACGCUUUCAUUGAUCAAGAACGAAAGUUAGAGGUUCGAAGGCGAUCAGAUACCGCCCUAGUUCUAACCAUAAACGAUGCCAGCUAGCGAUCCGCCGACGUUCCUCCGAUGACUCGGCGGGCAGCUUCCGGGAAACCAAAGCUUUUGGGUUCCGGGGGAAGUAUGGUUGCAAAGCUGAAACUUAAAGGAAUUGACGGAAGGGCACCACCAGGAGUGGAGCCUGCGGCUUAAUUUGACUCAACACGGGAAACCUCACCAGGCCCGGACACCGGAAGGAUUGACAGAUUGAGAG
rnacentral:rRNA from 2 species